rnacentral:lncRNA from 1 species
UUUAUUUGCUUUUUGUUGUUGUUGUUUUAUUCCUUAUUUUCUUUUCUAUCUUUUUCUUUUUGGAAUUGAAGAGGUAAACUAUGAAAAUGAGAUACACCCCCACACUUAUUCAAGAACCUAUUCCCAAAUAAUUUCAAAGCUCCUUUAUCUUCUAAAGUAGGGACAAACAUGAUUUUUCUGUUUUGGGACUUGUAAUGAGGGUUAAAAAUAAGAAAAAG